rnacentral:rRNA from 1 species
UGAACGCUGGCGGCGUGCCUAAUACAUGCAAGUCGAGCGAACAGACGAGGAGCUUGCUCCUUUGACGUUAGCGGCGGACGGGUGAGUAACACGUAGGUAACCUACCUAUAAGACUGGGAUAACUUCGGGAAACCGGAGCUAAUACCGGAUAAUAUUUCGAACCGCAUGGUUCGAUAGUGAAAGAUGGCUUUGCUAUCACUUAUAGAUGGACCUGCGCCGUAUUAGCUAGUUGGUAAGGUAACGGCUUACCAAGGUAACGAUACGUAGCCGACCUGAGAGGGUGAUCGGCCACACUGGAACUGAGACACGGUCCAGACUCCUACGGGAGGCAGCAGUAGGGAAUCUUCCGCAAUGGGCGAAAGCCUGACGGAGCAACGCCGCGUGAGUGAUGAAGGUCUUCGGAUCGUAAAACUCUGUUAUUAGGGAAGAACAAACGUGUAAGUAACUGUGCACGUCUUGACGGUACCUAAUCAGAAAGCCACGGCUAACUAC